rnacentral:misc_RNA from 1 species
GAUGAAGAACGUAGUGAAAUGCGAUACUUGGUGUGAAUUGCAGAAUCCCGUGAACCAUCGAGUCUUUGAACGCAAGUUGUGCCCGAAGCCACUAGGCCGAGGGCACGCCUGCCUGGGUGUCACACGUCGUUGCCCCCCCCCCAUCUACUCCUUCGGGAUUGCGGGGGGCGGAUGAUGGCCUCCCGUGCGCCUAGCCGCGCGGUUGGCAUAAAUACCAAGUCCUCGGCGACGCACGCCACGACAAUCGGUGGUUGCGAAACCUCGGUUGCCCGUCGUGUGCGUUCGUCGCGCAUCGAGGGCUCGAAAAAAUGCUCGGCUCCGGCUCGGCUUUCAACGCGACCCCAGGUCAGGCGGGGUUACCCGCUGAAUUUAAGCAUAUCAAUAAGCGGAGGA